CGCCUAACUUCAACUCAGGACUGGGAGAAGGGAGGGCUGAAGAGAAUGGGAAUCCCUUUCAGGAGGAAGACAAAAGCAAACCAGGAAGUAAAGGGAAAUUAUUUCAGUCUGUACAUAGCUCAGGAUGUUAAAGGCAACCAGCUCAGAAGGCUGGUUAUUCAUUAGCAAGGAGGAAGGAGCUGCGGGGGGUCAGGGCUGGUCAAGCUCCAGAAGCCGACUUGAAACUGGGGAGGAGAUUCUGGCAAUACCAGGGCCCUAAGAAGACCUAGGAAGAUUUACCUGGAGUUACUCUUUCCCGCUGCUUAACUUUUCUUUAGGAUGAAAGCAAGAUGACUCUCCUUAGUUCCUGGCAUUUGCCUAACUAAGCUCUUAUUGCCUUCCUGGACCCAGAAGAAAAAAGCCAUUCCCUCAGGGAGGAGACAGAGUUUGCCCGUCUCUUACUUCCCAUACUGGGAUAGCCAGCAGCUGCUAUUACAGAAAAGCAGAGUUUCUCUGGGGAAAGUUUCUACCGGCCGGCCAGAAGUUGUGUUAGGGAAACCUAACCAAGCAUGGAAAGCUGGUGUUGAUUUUCACUGUGCCUGGCGUGGGCAGGGAAAGUGGAUCAGAGAGAUUUGAGAGGGGGAGGAAAAUCUCUCCCCCCUGGCCCUUAUCCCCAGUGGGGAAACAAAAAAAGCAAGGCAACAGGUUCCAAAUCAUGGGGAACUUAUGUCUGAAAUACUGCACUUAUUUGGAGCCCUGCCUUCCCUGUUUAUUCCAGGAAGUGGAUAAACCUGUUGUGAUUGAAAAUCCACAUGCCGUCUCCCCAUCCACCCCUCCAUGCCAGAGACAGACCCCCGAGUCAGAAAGGGGUCAUGGCCGCUAUUUUGUGGCCUUGUUUGAUUAUCAGGCCCGGACGGCAGAAGAUCUGAGCUUCCGAGCUGGAGACAAACUUCAGGUCCUGGAUUCUUCUCAUGAGGGCUGGUGGUUUGCCAGGCAUUUGGAGAAGAGGGUAGAUGGCCCUGGGCAGCAACUCCAAGGUUAUAUUCCUUCCAAUUAUGUGGCUGAGGAUCAGAGCAUCCAGGCUGAGCCGUGGUUCUUUGGUUCAAUCAAGCGAGUGGAUGCAGAAAAACAACUCCUGUACCCAGGAAACCAGAAUGGUGCCUUCCUAAUUAGAGAAAGUGAAACUCAGAAAGGAGACUUCUCUCUUUCAGUUUUAGAUAACAAAAUUGUGAAGCAUUACCGAGUGAGAAGACUUGAUGAGGGAGGCUUUUUCCUUACACGGAGAAGAACUUUUGAUACCUUGAAUGCUUUUGUGGACCACUACACCAAGACGAGUGAUGGCCUCUGUAUCAAACUUGGAAAACCAUGCUUAAAGAAAGAAGUCCCAACUACUUUUGAUUUGUCAUAUAAGACUGUGGACCAAUGGGAAAUAGAUCGAAACUCUCUGCAACUUCUGAAAAUAUUAGGAUCUGGCCAGUUUGGUGAGGUGUGGGAAGGUUUAUGGAAUAAUACCACUCCUGUAGCAGUCAAAACAUUAAAACCAGGUUCAAUGGAUCCAAAGGACUUCCUAAGGGAGGCACAGAUAAUGAAGAACUUGAGACAUCCCAAGCUUAUCCAGCUUUAUGCUGUUUGCACUUUAGAGGAUCCAAUUUAUAUUAUUACAGAACUGAUGAGACAUGGAAGUCUGCAAGUCUAUCUCCAAAAUGAUGCUGGGUCCAAAAUCCAUCUGCCUCAACAGCUAGACAUGGCAGCUCAAGUUGCCUCAGGAAUGGCUUAUCUAGAAUCGCAGAAUUACAUCCACAGAGAUCUGGCUGCCAGAAAUGUCCUUGUUGGUGAACAUAAUGUUUACAAAGUUGCAGACUUUGGACUUGCAAGAGUUUUUAAGGUAGAAAAUGAAGACAUCUAUGAAUCAAAACCAGAAAUCAAACUUCCAGUGAAAUGGACAGCACCUGAAGCCAUUCGAUCCCACAAAUUCAGCAUUAAGUCUGAUGUAUGGUCUUUUGGGAUACUUCUUUAUGAAAUUAUUACUUAUGGCAAGAUGCCUUAUCCAGGUAUGACUGGGAUGCAGGUAAUCCAGAAGUUGGAUCAAAACUAUAGACUUCCUCAACCAGAUAACUGUCCAUUGGAACUCUACAACAUCAUGUUGCAAUGCUGGAAUGUGGAUCCCAAAGAUCGGCCAACGUUUGAAUCACUGCACUUGAGUCUUGAGGAUUAUUAUUAUGAAUUAGAUUCUACCUCUUACUUGGAUACAAAUAAUUUUGUUAGAUGAAAUUGGAGAUGGGGCAAUGGAUGUUCAUGAAAGAAUAAAAAAAAAUUACUGGUUCAGAAACAUAACCCAGCUAUCAACUGCAAAAUCAACUUAGUUUUGAAAUCUGGAAGGAAAAAGAUUCCAAUAUGGGAUACUUUGACUGUGUACUAUAGAAAUUAUUAUAUCUACAUUUCUUUGUUUGGACAACACUGAAGGACAGUGCAGAAAUAAUACUCCCAACAGCUACCUGCCUGGCAAGAAUAAACUGAAAACAAGCUCUUUCCCUCUUCCCUGCCUCAUUUUGAAGCUAUUUCUAUUUAUUGGUUGAAAUAGUGAUCAUAAGAAUCAACAGAUGAUGGUCGAUUUUUACUCUCUUAUCUGUGGCAGCAUUUUCCUGUUUGCUGAUUAGUGUGGUUAUUCAUUAUUCCUCAGUUUGCUGAAUCUCAUCCGGCUGUUAUUAUGAAGGAAUAUGAUUGCUUUGCUGCACAGCAGGACCUGUGCUUUGAGAUUUCCCCCCUCUUCUCUUUUAAAAUAUCCUGUAACUACAAUGAUGGGGAAAAUAAGGGCUGACCUUCAAGGAUUUAUAUCAACGUGAGUGUGUGGAGCCACAAAAUAGUCAACUAUAAGAGCACAAGAUCGCAUAUAUGUGAUAUGUGAUGAAGAAACUACAUUUUACAUAGGAAGAAACAGAAGAGUCAAGAUUUUUUACUCACGUCUCCUGCCUUAAAAAUCUAGCAUUUUUUUCACUGGGUCAUGCUGUGGUUUCUCAACACCACAAGCAAUGAUCAAAUUUAACUUAAGAACAAUCAAUCAGCCAAUAAAAAUUUAUGAAGUACUUAUUGGGUGCCUGGUAUUGUGCUAAGUGCCAAAGAUACAAAGGCAAAAGAAGUCCUGUCCUCAAGGAGAUUGCAGUCUAAUGGAGAGACAACAUAGGAACUACUCCAUAAAAGCUAGAUACAUAUAAGAUAGAGUAAGUUUGUUGUUCAUCCUUUGUAUUUCUAUCAGAGGACCAAUGACAUUAUGAGGUUGAGGUCAAGCUGCAGUGUAUCUGGAUGUGACUUAGCAAUCAAAUAAGAGCUCAGAAAGCCCUGCAAUCAACAGAAUGAAGGCAUUAACAUUAUGGGAGACUGGAAAAGGUUAAUUUUGGAAGGCAAGGUUCUAGCUGAAAUUUGAGGGAAGUUGUAAAAAUCAGGAGGCAGAAAUGAGGAUGGAGGUCAUUCCAGGCAGUACAGCCUGUGCGGUACAGCCAGUGAAAAUGGGUAGAAUGGGGAAAUGGAGUACAUCAUGUAAGAAAUAACAAAAAAGUCAGCGUUGCUGAAUUAUAGAGUACACUGUUGAGAGAGUGAGGUGGACUAGUAGAUAGCUUCACAGGGUCAGCUUCAGCACUUUGCUAAUAACCUUUUCAUCUAUCACAUUUGAAGGACCUAAUAAAUACCUUUUGGCAGAAAAAAGGUUAAAAUCUUACUGUGGUGACCAAGGGAAACAAAAUGAUCUAUGUUGCAGACAGACUUAAGAAUACAAAUUUAUUUGAUUUUCUAUAGGCACAAACUGAAAUAAUCUAUAUGUUCAAAUUCAACUACUAUAUAAUUUGUCCUUUAGUAACAGCUAACAAUUAUGAACUUUUCUCUAAAACCUGAUUUCAAAAUGGAAAAGCAAGGUUAUCGUUUUCAAUUACAGUACACACUAAAAUGGGUUUAACUUAUUGCAUCUGAUUCUUGGGGACUUUUAUGUUCAAGGCUCUGCCAAAGCAAUCUAUUAUUCUUGUUUUUACCUGAUGGAUCUUGGAGAAAAAUAAUGGAUUCAGUUAUGAGAAACAGUAAUAGAUUUUUUUAAACUGACAUAAAUUUCUUUCUUUCUAGGGAAUAAAAGGAUCAGGAAAAGAUAAGUUGAAUUUUUUUACAAUGAGCUAGCUCUUGUGAAAUUCACUCCUCAUAAAUUGUACCAAAGCACUUUUUACAUAAUGUUUUAUUUAUGUAAUUCGGUUAUUUGAGGGUUGGGGAGGGUGAAAUGGAGGAGUAAAUCAUUUUGUGUGAUUUUUCGAAAGCACUUUGGACACAAACUAGGAAUUUUUAGUAAGACAAGAAAGAUUAUGAGUUCCACUAAGUUCUCCUUUAGGGGGAGAAGAGCAAAUUGUGCUGAUAGUGUAUGGGGUCUGAAGAGGUUUUGAAUCAGAAUUUCUAAAAGCUGUAGGAGUUUAGUGUCUUGAAAUCCAAAUCAAAAGGUAAAGUAACUAAUGAACUGUGUACUUGGCCAUGGAUAUGGCCAGCUUUAAAGGGCACCAAAGAGCAGGGAGGACACGUGCACCAUAAGGCUAGUGGGAAAUACCAUGCUGUGCCCAUUCAUAAUUUCCAGUGAUAAAAGAAUGUCUGCCCAAUAACAUCAUGGCUUAGGAAAUACAUAACGGGACCCAAACUCUUCAGAUUUCAUGAUGACCCAAAGGGAGUUGUAGGAGGAUGCAAUGCUGUUUCCCAGCUGCAGCUGUCUAGAGGAAACAAGACCCAUCUGUGUCCUGGGGCUUGCAGAACAUAUGCCAUACCAUGAUAAUGUUUUCCAUAGUUUAACAUAUGGCUUCUAGAAAAGCAGCCUUGUUAUCUUGUAUUAUGUGGCUACUUAUUGCUGCUUUAGACAAAACAAAAGUAAACCUGGAGAAAUGGAAUGGCUUCAUAUUGGGUUAUUUAUUUAAAAAUAUGUAAUACAUAUAAUACAUACAUAUAUUAAGGAUUAAUUAAAUUGGAUGAUUGGAUGAUCUCAAAGUCUUUGGUAUCAACACAUGCUUACAUUUUACUUUUAUCACUUUUAAAACAACGUAUGGAUUC